AGGCCGUAAGACAGGUACAGCAUGGCUCGUCGUCAGCUCGUGUCGUGGAUGUUGGGUUAAGUCCCGCAACGAGCGCAACCCUAUCGUUAGUGCCAUCAUUAAGUUGGGCACUCUAGCGAGACUGCCGGUGACAAACUGGAGGAAGGCGGGGACGACGUCAAGUCAUCAUGGCCCUACGGCCAGGGCUACACACGUGCUACAAUGGUCGGUACAAAGGGUUGCUACCUAGCGAUAGGAUGCUAAUCUCAAAAAGCCGAUCGUAGUCCGGAUUGGAGUCUGCAACUCGACUCCAUGAAGUCGGAAUCGCUAGUAAUCGCGGAUCAGAAUGCCGCGGG
rnacentral:rRNA from 1 species